rnacentral:rRNA from 1 species
AUUGAACACUGGCGGCAUGCCUUACACAUGCAAGUCGAACGGCAGCACGGGAGCUUGCUCCUGGUGGCGAGUGGCGAACGGGUGAGUAAUACAUCGGAACGUACCCAGGAGUGGGGGAUAACGUAGCGAAAGUUACGCUAAUACCGCAUAUUCUGUGAGCAGGAAAGCGGGGGAUCGCAAGACCUCGCGCUCUUGGAGCGGCCGAUGUCGGAUUAGCUAGUUGGUGAGGUAAAAGCGCACCAAGGCGACGAUCCGAAGCAGGUCUGAGAGGAUGAUCUGCCACACUGGGACUGAGACACGGCCCAGACUCCUACGGGAGGCAGCAGUGGGGAAUUUUGGACUAUGGGGGCAACCCUGAUCCAGCCAUGCCGCGUGAGUGAAGAAGGCCUUCGGGUUGUAAAGCUCUUUCGGCGGGGAAGAAAUGGCAACGGCUAAUAUCCGUUGUUGAUGACGGUACCCGCAUAAGAAGCACCGGCUAACUACGUGCCAGCAGCCGCCGUAA